rnacentral:rRNA from 1 species
UGGGGACUAGUAUCAACGGCAUCACGAGGGUCCCACUGUCUCCCCCCUCCAAUCAGUGAAACUGAUCUCCCCGUGAAGAAGCGGGGAUAAGUAUAUUAGACGAGAAGACCCCAUGGAGCUUUAAACCCGACAGCACCCACUUAUUUAACACCUUCUUAUCCGCCUGGCCCCUGUCUGCUCGGUUUUGGGUUGGGGUGACCGCGGAGCAUAAAAUAGCCUCCACGAAAGAAGGGAUGAUUCCCUCAUUUUAGAACUACACUUCCAAAGACUAACAAAUUAAUUUUAAGUGAUCCGAUACCCGUAUUCGAUCAACGAACCAAGUUACCCUGGGGAUAACAGCGCAAUCUACCUCAAGAGCCCCUAUCGACAGGUGGGUUUACGACCUCGAUGUUGGAU